CCAUCAGGUGGCCGCAGAGAAUAGGCCCAAGCGACUGUUUACCAAAAACAUAGGUUUCUGCUAAGUCGCAAGACGAUGUAUAGGAGCUGACGCCUGCCCGGGGCUGGAAGGUUAAGGGGAUCUGUUAGAGCAAUCGAAGCAGUGAACUUAAGCCCCAGUAAACGGCGGCCGUAACUAUAACGGUCCUAAGGUAGCGAAAUUCCUUGUCGGGUAAGUUCCGACCCGCACGAAAGGCGUAACGAUUUGGGCACUGUCUCAACAACAGACUCGGUGAAAUUGUAAUUCCGGUGAAGAUGCCGGAUACCUGCGACAGGACGGAAAGACCCCAUGGAGCUUUACUGUAGCUUGACAUUGGGUCUUGGUACUACAUGUACAGGAUAGGUGGGAGGCUUUGAAACCAGGACGCCAGUUUUGGCGGAGCCAUCCUUGGGAUACCACCCUUGUAGUACUGGGACUCUAACCAUAGGCCAUGAAUCUGGUCUUGGGACACUGUCAGGUGGGCAGUU
rnacentral:rRNA from 1 species